AGGCAGCAGUGGGGAAUAUUGCACAAUGGGCGUCAAGCCUGAUGCAGCCAUGCCGCGUGUAUGAAGAAGGCCUUCGGGUUGUAAAGUACUUUCAGCAGUGAGGAAGGUGGAGUCGUUAAUAGCGGCCUCAUUUGACGUUAGCUGCAGAAGAAGCACCGGCUAACUCCGUGCCAGCAGCCGCGGUAAUACGGAGGGUGCGAGCGUUAAUCGGAAUUACUGGGCGUAAAGCGCAUGCAGGUGGUUUGUUAAGUCAGAUGUGAAAGUCCCGGGGCUCAACCUCGGAAUUGCAUUUGAAACUGGCAGACUAGAGUACUGUAGAGGGGGUAGAAUUUCAGGUGUAGCGGUGAAAAUGCGUAGAGAUCUGAAGGAAUACCGGUGGCGAAGGCGGCCCCCUGGACAGAUACUGACACUCAGAUGCGAAAGCGUGGGGAGCAAACAGGAUUAGAUACCCUGGUAG
rnacentral:rRNA from 1 species